rnacentral:rRNA from 1 species
UACAGAGACUGCAAGCGUUAUUCGGAUUCACUGGGCGUAAAGGGUGCGCAGGCGGCCAUGUGUGUCAGGUGUGAAAGCCCGGGGCUUAACCCCGGAAUUGCGCCUGAAACUACAUGGCUAGAGCAUUGGAGAGGGUAGCGGAAUUCACGGUGUAGCAGUGAAAUGCGUAGAUAUCGUGAGGAACACCAGAGGCGAAGGCGGCUACCUGGACAAUUGCUGACGCUCAGGCACGAAAGCGUGGGGAGCAAAAGGG